rnacentral:rRNA from 1 species
UAUCCGCCGAAUCCCCUUGAGUUGAUCAUGGCUCGAAUGAACGCUGGCGGCGUGCUUUACACAUGCAAGUCGAGCGAGGCGGCCCGCAAGGGUCAGUCGAGCGGCGAACGGGUGAGUAACACGUGGAUUAUCUACCCUAAGGUGGGGAACAACCCGGGGAAACUCGGGCUGAUACCGCAUGAUACCGAAAGGUCAAAGGGGGCUCGCAAGGGCUUCCGCCAUAGGAGGAGUCUGCGUCCGAUUAGCUAGUUGGUGGGGUAAUGGCCUACCAAGGCGACGAUCGGUAGCCGGCCUGAGAGGGUGAUCGGCCACACUGGAACUGAGACACGGUCCAGACUCCUACGGGAGGCAGCAGUGGGGAAUUUUGCGCAAUGGGCUAACGCCUGACGCAGCAACGCCGCGUGGAGGAUGAAGGUCUUUGGAUUGUAAACUCCUGUCAGCAGGGAAAAAGCGACUCGGACUAAUACUCCGGGGAGUUGAUUGUACCUGCAGAGGAAGCCCCGGCUAACUCUGUGCCAGCAGCCGCGGUAAUACAGAGGGGGCAAGCGUUAUUCGGAAUUACUGGGCGUAAAGCGCACGUAGGUGGCGAUGUAAGUCGGG